UCUACUGCACCAUUUAAUGUUUGCAGUAACUAAGAGCUAACAGUUAAAUAUGCUAGUAUGUUGUUACUGUCACUUGAAUUUGUGUGACUAGCUAGGCUGUGCAGUGUUUUGGGGGCAGCUCUCCUUAGUGAUUCAGUGGUGACUUCAGUGGAGGUAGCCGGCGGAGGAGAGCUCAGGUGGAGGAUUCUAGCAGAAGGGCCAUGAUCUAAAGCUUUGGUCGGAGAGGGAUGUCGGAAUCAGGCCAGCGCAGCUGCUCCCGCUGACGCAGGCGAUGACAGCGGUGCUACUCGAGGAGACAUGGCGAAGAAAGACAGGGCUGUCCUGAACUGUAGUAGCACAGGUGAAGGGGGAUAGCCACUCCUGUGCUUCCUCGAUGACGAACACACACAGGAGGUUUGCUCUGAUGAUUGUAGACAAUGCCACAGCACUAUACAAAAUGAAUUUCUCGACUAGCAGGGGAGUACUAGCAAAUGAUGUCAGAAAGUUAUGUUCAGAAUUUGAUAUGAUUAGAUAGGCCCUUCUGCUGCUCAUGCAUGACCUUGCCAUGGCUAGAGCCUUUCAAGACUUCUACCUGAAGUCCAUAAAAUGGGAACUAACAGCAUAUUUUCUUCGAUUAGUUGAUUUGCUUAUCUUAACCUUCAUCCACCUUUGAUUACCUUAAAUUGGGAUACACAAGUAUAUAUGUGCACUAUUUGUUAUGAAUUUUAGUAUAACUUCAUAUGUUUCUUUGCUGGA